UUGGGUGGGGGCUCUCUGGGUUUGGGUCCACCCAGGUGUCUGGGUGUCACUCGAGGGGACCCAGCUGUCACUUUGGGUUGGAAAUGACAUGUCCAGGUGCCACCUGGGGGACUUGGGUGUCCUCGGGGGGGACCCAGGGGUCUACGGGGGUGACCCAAGGCAUCUGGGCCCCCACAGAUGCCCCCCGAGGCUGAAGUCCGGGCCUUCACCCACUGCGUCAUGGAGCUGCUGGAGGUGUGGGGCAGGGCCAGCGUCCGGGUGCUCGACUUGCUGCCACUGCUGCGGGGCUGCGGCGGCUGCUUAGCCUGGUGGAGUCCCGUGACGCCUUCGUGGAGACCCAGAUCCGGCGUCACAAGGUGGGAUGGGGACACGG
rnacentral:lncRNA from 1 species